CAGCAUGUUUCCAAGGGCUGUGACUGCUGGUAGCCAUGGGUUCUCCAACUGCAUGCAAGAGCAACGUGGAGGGAUUUUGACAGCCCAGGUUACACUGUACCUGCAGCUGCCACUCACAUUUCCUAUAAAC
rfam:Tupaia chinensis contig85101, whole genome shotgun sequence.